rnacentral:rRNA from 1 species
UACGUAGGGUGCAAGCGUUAAUCGGAAUUACUGGGCGUAAAGCGUGCGCAGGCGGUUUUGUAAGUCUGUCGUGAAAUCCCCGGGCUCAACCUGGGAAUUGCGAUGGAGACUGCAAGGCUAGAAUCUGGCAGAGGGGGGGUAGAAUUCCACGUGUAGCAGUGAAAUGCGUAGAGAUGUGGAGGAACACCGAUGGCGAAGGCAGCCCCCUGGGUCAAGAUUGACGCUCAUGCACGAAAGCGUGGGGAGCAA